UUAUGGCUCGGGCUUGUAUAUUGCUGUUCUUGGUGCUUCUGGUCGCGGAUCUGAGGUAACGUAAUCGGUACCGAGGCUAGAGAGGUAAGGAAAUAGAGAUAGAAAUUGGGAUUGAGAUAGAGAGAAGAGAAAUAGAGGUAGAGAGAUAGGCAGAUGAGGAUUGAGAGGUGAGGGUUAGGGAAAAAAGUUGGGAUAGAGAUAGAAGAUAGAGAAGAAGAAGGGUUUGGAGAAGAACCUUUGGGGGAGAAAUAGACUAUUUCAUUUUCAUUGAUACCCUGCGAAUUACAUCCUGCUAACUAUAUAUAGCCUAUACAACUUGUACUGAAAUUGAAAUUAAACUAUCCUAAGAGGACUUAACAGCAAUUUGUCAAAAAUAGGAAUGAGGCCUGAUGGGUUGAAUCCGGUUGCCUUGAGGGCCUCGGGUGGGCUUGUUUGGUCCAAAUCGCCUGGGAGGCGGGCAAACGGACUCGGGUCCGCCCUUCUCUGCACUACCCGCAACCCUGCGGGUUUUGGGUUCGCCAUUUCGUCCCGAUCCGAGCUCCUGGUUCGCCCGACCCGUGCGCAACGGUAAGUGGGCGUCGGUUCCUGCCUUCUCCGCAUCAUCCGCCAGCUCUCUCUCCGUCGCCCCAACUACAUGGAUUUCGUCGGACCUCCCGUCGCUCUCUCCGAGCUUUGAGGAUGCCCUAGCUCAGUCGAGCUCGCCUGAGCCCCUUCGGAGGCUCCUUCCCGCCGGAGUUCCGCUCGAGCGCCUUCCUGCCGGAUCGCUCCGCCAAGCUCGUUCCCCACCAACCUCCUGCUGCACUUCUCUUCUCUACUUUGUAAAGUUGACAUUUUUACUACUCUCCCAUGCUAACUACUGCUUCUACCAUUUAUUCUUCAGGGUUGUUACAAUCCCCUCCUCUUAAAAUCAUCCUUGUCCUCAAGGAUGGAACUGGUUUAGGGCUCCCAUUUGCUUCUCUCGGGGCACAUCCUUCUUCCCCAAAAUUGCUUCUUUUAAGCCAUUUCUAAUCUCGGUUCUGUUUUCUUGCCCCCCCUUUGCGCCGGUAAGAGGCAUUUCCAACUGUGUCCACACUCGCCUAACACCUCGGGUUGGCAGCAUGGACGGCGGCUCCUGCUGGGGCGGGGGCUCACCCUUGGGACCUUCAGGCAGCCGCAACCGGCGCGCCGCCCGACUUGUUUGCACCGAGAUGUGGUAAAGCCCAAUUUGGUUACUUGUGGGCUUUAGAAUUUUUCCCAGUGCUGUAAUCUCUCUAUUGUCUUCCCAAGCGGCUUCAUUCUGCUCCCCAUGGGCCUUCUUCUUAAGUGCGGAACAAUCCUUCGAAAUUUUUCGCCUAUAGAGAUCAUCACAGCACUUUUUAUAGGCAAACCUCUUCAUAACCAUCCUAGCUAUGAGGAGGGAACAGCUAGUUUCAUCUUCUAAUUCUCUUACAUCUUGAUCUUCUCCAUUUUCAGGGUGAGCUUGACUUCCGAUUAGGCUUAGGAAGCUGUUGCCUUUAACCUUCACACUAUGAACACAGUUAGCAUUAUGGAAGUUACAAUCAUUUACCUCAGAUUCCUGCAGUUUGUCUUGUUCAUAAGCCAGAAAUCGCGAGCAUGGAUGAGGCAUCUUAAGCACAGUUCCUAGCUUCUUGUACGCAUUCACAUAACCCCACCCAUGGCAAGCCUCUGCCAGAUUAAGAAUUGGACUUAGCAUUUGAGCCCUUAAGUCAUCUGAUUUCUCUUGUUGAUCGCUGAUCUGAUGUAGCUCGAAGCAUUGCUCAUAGCCCCCAAUCCAAUUUCGAAGGUUAUUUCCACUGAACAUAAGAAAUCCUAUUGUCGGAAAGGAAUUGGCGUGAAAUUGGUUGUUCACUUCCCACAGAAUUACAAUGAAUUCGUUCUCAUAGGUGGACUGCACAUAAUGAAUUUGGUUCCAUAUUGGACUGAGAUAAGCAAGGGGUCUAUUUUCUGGGCUUAAAACUGUACUUGUUCCCAAUAUAGAAGAUCUAUUGCAACCAUGUGGUGUAGCUGGCUUAUUACCUUCCUCUUCAAUUUCUCUAUGUAGCUUUUGUAUACAAGAAGGCAUCUCCUCCAUUGUUGCUCCAGAUUUAAUCAUAUAGGGCUGAGCUGCUAGUAAUUGUGCUCUAUGCUUGAUUACCAUUGGCAUGUGAGAAGCUUCUUCAAUACUAUGAAUUGUUACCUUGUUAGGUCCUGGAUCAAAAGGCACUUGCCUAAAUUCCUUCAUCCAAUAAAUUCUAAGCACUAUGUCAGAAUUUCUGAGCCUCAAUUCUCUUGAAUCAGCCAAGAAUUUGUGACCUGGCUUCCUUCUUGCAAACUGAGGGCCAGAAUCUUGGCUUAGCACCUUGUGCCCAGGGUCUGCUAUCACUGUCAAGGGUGCAACAGUAGUAACCUCAACUCUGGUGGCUUUUGCAAUCCCGAAAUCAAUGAGGCUAUGUAGCUUUCUAUCAUCAUUCAGAAUUAAUUGGGUUUGGUUAUCUGACUCCUUAUUACUUGUAGCCUCGUAGACAUUUCCUUCUUCUACUUGUUGUAGCUCACAUCCUUCUUCUUUUACCGUUUCAGAUUUAGUACACAUUUCAACCUUUUCCUGGGCUUGUAACACAUCUAGGGAGCUAUCCUUACAUUGCUUCCCUAUAAUAUACUCCUCCCCGUAUCCAUCGCAUAGUUCUUGCAUCCUUGUUUGCUUACUCGUUGCAGUCGCUUCUACAAAAUCAUAAUUAAUACUCUUUUUAGAUCUGUAAGCUGUAUUCUCCGCGGUUUCUCGGGUACUCCCUACUUCUGUUGAAGUAGAAUGGUCAUCUGGGGCAUUGGGGGCAGGCCCGAGUAGAGGCGGCUGUGUUGCGAGUGGAGGCGGCAGGUCGGCGCAAGGCUCUUGGCUUCUUCCUUCAGGUGGGCUAACUGUGGGAAUUUGUACGGAGUGAAGCUGUGACUGUAGUGCGGCAAACAUUCUCAGCAUCUCCUUGUUUUGCGAUCGCCUUUCUUCCCUGGCCGCGGCUACCUGUUGGGCCAGUCCGAUGAUCCGCGCCUCAUGAUCGGUAUUUAGAUGCUGCAACCUCUCUUCCAGUGUGUUAAUGUGGUCGUUUAAAUCCUUCAUCCGGGUACCCUCCACCAUUCUUUUACUUGCGGGUGUGAAAGUGAAUCGGUUUUGACUUGUUUUCCCAAUUGAUGCCUCGGUUUUAUUUAAUUUUCGAUUUCUCUGUAUGCUCCCUAUUUGCUUGAACUGGAAUGGAGGUAUGCUACAUUAACUAAUCCGGGAUGCCUGUGAUGUAUUACGGAGGCUUCGGCGCUGCUCCAAUUAAUGGAACAGUGCUUUACCCACUCGAAUCCUGGCACACUGCUGAUUGUCUCCCUCUCGGUAAUGUAAGGGUGUAGUGAUUUGUUGGGUAUACCUGAUGAAUGCCGAGAGUUGCCCCUGGAUGCUACUGUGAUUGCUUCACUCUUGUUUGGUCUGGAGUUAUCGCUUGCUACAGUAACUAUGCCGAGGAGCCAAUGAUGCUAAGCUGAGGCCCGGUGCGAUUCUAAUUCAAUAGAACUCGCACUAGUCUUUACUACUACCUCGGUACAGCCUGAGUAUGUUUCCUCUGUUGCUAAUUGUGCUAGUUGGAUGAUGUUACCUUGUGCACGCCAAUUGCUUGGGGUAAUUUCCCACAGCUGCUGAGCCUCCAACGGUCUUGCUCCUGUUGAAUUCCUGUUGGCCACGGCCCUGGGACAGAACCUGGCUCUGAUACCAGUUGUAAUAUCCCUUAUGGCUCGGGCUUGUAUAUUGCUGUUCUUGGUGCUUCUGGUCGCGGAUCCGAGGUAACGUAAUCGGUAACCGAGGCUAGAGAGGUGAGGAAAUAGAGAUAGAAAUUGGGAUUGAGAUAGAGAGAAGAGAAAUAGAGGUAGAGAGAUAGAUAGAUGAGGAUUGAGAGGUGAGGGUUAGGGAAAAGAGUUGGGAUAGAGAUAAGGGAUAGAGAAGAAGAAGGGUUUGGAGAAGAACCUUUGGGGGAGAAAUAGACUAUUUCAUUUUCAUUCAUAAUUCUGUUUGCCAUACAAUCUCGUACUUAUACUUCUCAGGAUUAAUACUGGAAUGGAAAUUACAUAAUCUCUUAGGACUAAACAGCAAAGUGACCAAAAAUGAGAUGCUGAUUGGUUGUGCUGCCAUUCGGGGUUGUUGGGCCACCUCUCUGGGCCUUCCGGUCCGGUAGUGCUAGUGAGUGGGUAAACGGGUGCCGGACUCCUCCUUCUCCGCAUCAUCCGCGACCCUGCGGGUUUUGGGCUCGCCUUUUUCCUCCGCUCCGAAGGCUUGAGGCUCCGACCCGCCUGCUCUCUUCUUCGCCCCAAAAACCAAGAUCUGUCGGACUUCUCCUCCAACCUCGGUCCUUCUUCUGCUCUCUCUCCGUCCGAUCCGCCAGCUCUCUCCUUCGCCCCAACUACAUGGAUUUCGUCGGACCCCCCGUCGCUCUCUCCGAGCUUUGAGGAUGCCCUAGCUCCGUCGAGCUCGCCUGAGCCCCUUCGGAGGCUCCUUCCCGCCGGAGUUCCGCCCGAGCGCCUUCCUGCCGGAUCGCUCCGCCAAGCUCACUCCUCACCAACCUCCUGCUGUCACUUCUCUGCUCUACUUUGUAAAGUUGACAUUUUUACUACUCUCCCAUGCUAACUACUACUGC
rnacentral:lncRNA from 1 species